rnacentral:rRNA from 1 species
AUACGGGGGAUUCAAGCGUUAUCCGGACUUAUUGGGUUUAAAGGGUGCGUAGGCUGAUAAAUCAGUCAGCGGUGAAAUUUACGGGCUUAACUUGUAGCUUGCCGUUGAAACUAUUUAUCUAGAGAUAUUUCGGCGUAUGCGGAAUGUAUCAAGUAGCGGUGAAAUGCAUAGAUAUGCUACAGAACACCAAUCGCGAAGGCAGCAUACGAGGCAUCAUCUGACGCUGAUGCACGAAAGCGUGGGGAUCAAACAGGAUUAGAUACCCUGGUAGUCCGCACAGUAAACGAUGAAUACUUGUUUUCGGCGAUAUAAUGUCGGAGGCAAAGCGAAAGCGUUAAGUGUCCCACCUGGGGAGUACGCCGGCAACGGUGAAACUCAAAGGAAUUGGCGGGG